CAUCAGUGUGAAGUACCAUGCAGCAGUAAUCAAUGUAGAACAAAACUGUCAAUAUGGAAAAUGAAAUAUUUUAGACUAAAAUUUCAAGGCUUAGUUGUAGUCCUGUAGACUAAACACCAGUUGUUUAAAACUGUUUGUUUAAAUGUGUCCACGUAGAUUCUCUUCCUCAAUAAAUGCAACACAUAAGAUUACAAAUACUCAUUUUCCUUUUACACAGACAGAAAUGCCUUGAAAAGGACUCUACCUCUUAUAUUGAGACUGAAAGACUUCCAGAGGUGUUAAUGUACUCAUGAAGAAUACCAUCCUGGUUACCAUAACAUUCUAUAGAAUGUUACCACACUGCCAGCAGAGAAACUACCUUACUUACAUGGAUUCAUUUCACCAUUUUAAGCAGUGAGGGUAUCUUCCUUGUAGAACAUUUCACAUGACAUUUGCAGAGAGAGGCUGUUCAAAUGGAACCAGGAAAUUCAGGAAAACCUGCUAAAAUGAGGGACCUGUGGAAUUUCCAUCUGGAGACAGUCAUUUAUCAACAGGUGAAGCAGAAGAGAGAGAACAUGCUAAAAAAGUGGUCAUGCUCAAGGAGCAGUGGUGGAGGCUACUCGCUGCAAAGCAGUGAAGAGAAAUCAAUGACUUCUGUGUAACAUGAAAAGUUAGCAGCUCCAACUAUACCUCUUUUCAGUGGAGCCACAUGGUCUGUUUGUGAGGAGGUGAACCUGGUGCUGAACCAGAACUAAAACUGCUCCAGAAACAUCAGUGCAAAGACUGUAGCUCUGAUGUGCUUCCCAGAUAAGGGUACUCAGAGCUCUCUGGAACAUCAGGCACACAAAAUUAGCUAGGUAGGGCUUCCUUUUCUUUUACUCUUGGAG
rnacentral:lncRNA from 1 species